rnacentral:rRNA from 1 species
UACGUAGGGUGCAAGCGUUGUCCGGAAUUAUUGGGCGUAAAGGGCGCGUAGGCGGAAUGGCAAGUCGGUCGUGAAAUCCUUCGGCUCAACCGAAGAACGUCGAUCGAAACUGCCGUUCUUGAGGAUUGCAGAGGAGACUGGAAUUCCCGGUGUAGCGGUGAAAUGUGUAGAGAUCGGGAGGAACACCGGUGGCGAAGGCGGGUCUCUGGGCAAUUCCUGACGCUGAGGCGCGAAAGCGUGGGGAGCAAACGGG